GGGAAGCGAGCCGUAGGGCUAUUUUGUUCAUCAAAACCAGCAGCCUUUUUCCAAAUUAAUUCCAAUCAAUCCACGCGCCUACGUGAGGUUUCCACAGGAAACGUUCCGAAGGGGGUUUUAUUCAUUUCUUCAUGGAGCAGCAAGCCCAGCAAAAGGAAGACACGGUGUCCACGCUGUCUUGAACGAAGCAACGAAGCGCGCACUGAGUUCGGCAAAAGUGCCAUCGUCCCUUAAACCGGCGGGUUUAGACAGAGGCGACGGAAAGCGGCCCGACGGGGUGACAGCAUUCCCUUGGAAAACUGGAAAGCCGCUAGUGUGGGAUGUAACCGUGGCGGACACAUUUGCCCAAACAUACAUCGCCCAGACGUCUAGGGUGCCGGGAAGUGCAGCGGAAAUACGCGAAAAUCGGAAGUUAGGAAAGUAUAGCGGGCUGGCAGACCGUUAUAUCGUUCAACCGCUGGCGUUUGAAACUACGGGCACGUUCGGACCACUGACGAAGAAAUUCUUCAAAGAGCUGUCGAGAAGAUUAUCGACAGUACAGGCAACCUCCGCUUAGGAGAGUUUUUACGCC